UUGUCAGUCCUAGACACUGAACUCAUCUAUUCCCUGAAGAAGUAAAAUUCUACAAGCUACAUUACCCCACCAACAGACCUCAGUCCUGACCUGAAGGAACAACUUCUAGGGAUCAUGAGAGCUAUUCAGUCUCUAUUCCCAAUAAGGCUUAGCCUUU
ensembl:misc_RNA